AACGAACACUGGCGGCAGGCCUAACACAUGCAAGUCGAGCGAGGACUUCGGUUCUAGCGGCGGACGGGUGAGUAACGCGUGGGAAUGUGCCCUUCUCUACGGAAUAGCCCUGGGAAACUGGGAGUAAUACCGUAUACGCCCUAUUGGGGAAAGAUUUAUCGGAGAAGGAUCAGCCCGCGUUGGAUUAGGUAGUUGGUGGGGUAAUGGCCUACCAAGCCGACGAUCCAUAGCUGGUUUGAGAGGAUGAUCAGCCACACUGGGACUGAGACACGGCCCAGACUCCUACGGGAGGCAGCAGUGGGGAAUCUUAGACAAUGGGGGCAACCCUGAUCUAGCCAUGCCGCGUGAGUGAUGAAGGCCUUAGGGUUGUAAAGCUCUUUCAGCUGGGAAGAUAAUGACGGUACCAGCAGAAGAAGCCCCGGCUAACUCCGUG
rnacentral:rRNA from 1 species